GGGAUUACCUUAGUACGGCGAGUGAAGCGGUAAAAGCUCAAAUUUGAAAUCUGGUACUUUCAGUGCCCGAGUUGUAAUUUGUAGAAUUUGUCUUUGAUUAGGUCCUUGUCUAUGUUCCUUGGAACAGGACGUCAUAGAGGGUGAGAAUCCCGUUUGGCGAGGAUACCUUUUCUCUGUAAGACUUUUUCGAAGAGUCGAGUUGUUUGGGAAUGCAGCUCAAAGUGGGUGGUAAAUUCCAUCUAAAGCUAAAUAUUGGCGAGAGACCGAUAGCGAACAAGUACAGUGAUGGAAAGAUGAAAAGAACUUUGAAAAGAGAGUGAAAAAGUACGUGAAAUUGUUGAAAGGGAAGGGCAUUUGAUCAGACAUGGUGUUUUUUGCAUGCACUCGCCUCUCGUGGGCUUGGGCCUCUCAAAAAUUUCACUGGGCCAACAUCAGUUCUGGCAGCAGGAUAAAUCAUUAAGAAUGUAGCUACCUCGGUAGUGUUAUAGCUUAUUGGAAUACUGCUAGCUGGGAUUGAGGACUGCGCUUCGGCAAGGAUGUUGGCAUAAUGGUUAAAUGCCGCCCGUCUUGAACCACGGACCA
rnacentral:rRNA from 1 species